AUUAUCUUAUUUUUUUAAAUAUGAUAUUAUUAAUAUAAAAACAAUUUUUAAUUAUAUAAUAAAUUAUCUAUAUAUAUAUAAAUUCAUUAAGAUAACAACACAAUAUAUAACAACACAAUAUAUAAGAAUUGUCUUAUAUUUAUUAAAAAAAUAUGAUAUUAUUAAUAUAAAUUCGUUUUUAAUUAUGUAAUAAAAAAUAUAUAAAAUUGUAAUAAUGGUAACUAUGACAUAAACCAGUUUAUCUUUUAAUGUGAGAAUUAUGUUGCAAAAUAUCACUUCGCAAAUACUAGUAUAGAUUUGGGCGCAAGUGUUUUCACUUUAUACGGAUCAAAAUUAUAUUUGUACGGCAAAAUUAUUAAAUAGUGCCUGAGACUUUGUGGUAGAGUGGGAAGGGACGGGUUGGUACAUUCACAUGUUUUAGGUUUGAUCCGGCUGUUUUGAGAAGCUAAGUAACUUUGCUCCAUGACAUCCAUAUGAAUAUGAAAUUUUGCGUUCGGUCAUUAUCUAUCCAUAAAAUGCACCUUCCAUUGGAAAUUAGUUUGGAUUCUUCUAUAAGCAUGUGAUACCUUCAUGUUAAUAAAAAAUUAAAUAGGUAUUCGUCAAUUACUGUUAUAUACUUUAUAAUUUUAGGACAUUAUUAUUUAUUCACUCGACUGUCACACAGUAAAAAGUGUUCAUAAAAAAACUUUAAGAAUUUUUUUCACUAUUUUGGAAAACAAAACAAAAACCAUUUAAGGUGGGAUUCUAUAUAGUAAAAAUGGCGGGCACUCAUGUAUUUUCAACUUUUAUAUGGAUCAAAUUUUAUUUUAUAUAAAGAAUUAUUAGGUUUGACCAGUAACCAUCAUAAGAACAAUAGAAAAUGAUAGAAAUGAAAUGAAUAGGAAUAAAAUUUUAGGAACGAUGAAGAAUGAUGGUUUCUUAUCAAAAUUAAUAAGGAAUAAAUUUGUUUUAUAAUUCUCUACAAACAAAAGAAUGAAAAGGAAAACAUAUUUCUCAUGAAUAGUAAAAAAUUUAAGGAAUGCUAAGGAACAUAGUGUUCUUCCUCAUUCCCUUCGUCACCAUUCAAAGCCAUUGUAUUUGUUAUUUAAUGUUUUGUGUUAUAUAUUGUUUAUGUAUCUUGUAACUUUAUAACAUUGUUGCUGCCAAAAAAUGUAUCUUGUUCGAAAUAUUAUUUUAUAAUUUUCUUUCAUCAGGUAUUAAUCAGUACCAAAAUAUUCUUUUAACAUUUGGUAAACAAGCAUAAUUAUCUGAAAUUUAGAUCGUUUAUUUUUGGUAUCACGUAGUUCAGAUAGGGGAUUUUAAGAUCUAUUAAGAACCAAAAAAAUGGUUUGGAUAGAUUGGGUAGUCCUCGGUUCAACUUUUAUAUGGAUCAAAAUUUAUUUUGUAUAAAUAAUUAUUGUUUUUGUUAUUAUAUAUUGUUUAUGUAUCUUGUAACUUUAUAACAUUGUUAUUGCCAAAAAAAUGUAUCUUGUUCGAAAUAUUAUUCUACAAUAUUUUUUAUCAGAUAUUAAACAGUACCAAAAUAUUCUUUUAACAUUUGGUAAACAAGCAUGCUUAUCUGAAAUAAUUAGAUGUAGAUCUAGGCAUUCAGAUAUAGAUGCAGUUUGGAUCGUUUAAUUUUGGUAUCAUAUAGUUCAGAUAGAGGAUUUUAAUAUCUAUUUAAGAACCAAAAAAUUGGUUUGGAUAGAUUGGGUAGUCCUUGGUCCGGUUGGGUGAUAGUAAAGUAGGAACAUGUAUACUGUAUAGUGUAUAUUAGAAAAAUUCAGGUUAAUUUGGUUCUUUUUUGGUUUGAUUUUAUAAGAUAAUUCAGGUAAAAUAUCAGGUAAUUUGAGUGCAUCAUAUGUAUAACAUUUUUAGAUAUUUUGAUUUCAAUUUCUAUUUGUUACGUAAAAUAUAUUACGCUAAUUUAUAAUCUGUUAGCGCAUUGGUUAUAACUUAUAACAAUAAUUUUGGUAGAUUUUUAUUUACAACCAUAUUGUGGGUUUUGGUAAUUUUUUCAGAUCAAAAUAAACAUUAUAUUUUGUAUUCAAUAUAUUUUGUAUUUUAUCUAUAACUAUAAAAUAGGGUUUUCUCUCACCUCCUGCUGCCACAUCAGCAUGGAGGGAAGGGCAUUUUGUGCCACCUGGAUGUCUCUCUUUAUUCAUCAAAAGCUGUUCUCGAGUUAUGUUGAAUGGGCUGUGAGAAUAACAAGUACACAUAUCAGGCCUAUUACUUGCUUAAAUUUGUAUAAAAUAUUGCAAAACUGGGCUAUGUAGUUAGGGUCCGUUUUUAAAUUUGUAGGUUGCUUACCUUCCUAAACCUACCACCGGAGAUGAUGUAACGUCGCCUAAACAAUACUUCUCCUUCACAGAAUCACAGUCGAGGGUAAUGCCAAGAAAUGACAAAUACCUACUAACUCCUCUUCAAUGGCGCUUGAAUUCAACCUUCAACGUCUUCAUUCAGUAUAUAAACACACCUCCUGAGAGAUCCUUCGAUCAUGGCGAAUUCUCCAAAUCAGAGCUCAUGUUCUAUCUCCCAGAAACCCCUCGAUCAUGGCGACUUCAUUGAUGAAAAAGGUUUGCCGGUUCCUUAUUCCAAUUACUACUUUAAGAUUUAUGGCUUUUGAUGUUGGAGAACACUCCAUGAUAAUUAAAUUUGUUAAGUUGCUGGUGAUUUUAGCAGUACUACCAUAUCUAACCAUUAAAUUUUAUUACUACUCAGGCUGUGUACUUCUGUAGUGGGAGGAUCUCUGUCCUCCAGAAUCUCUUCAUUAUGGGCUUCCAUCAUUUUCUAUAUACUCAUUUUACAUCUCCCAUAUGGAGGUAAGUGAGAUUUUGCUCUUUCUUUCCUAUUUUUAUGACUGUUAAAUGCUAUGUACCUUUGCUUCUUUCUCUGGUUCUAAAUGUCUUUGUCAUAUGUUACUUGCCGUGUGUUAGUGUUUCUGAUAGUAAGGCUUUAUUAUUUUGUAGCACUUCUAAGUUUCAUACAAAAUUUGUUAACUCUCGAGUCUUUUGCAGCAUCCUGAUUUGGUUUGGAACUUAAGCUCUUGUCCUUUCAUAUCUAGCACAGCGAUUAGGAGAAAAUAUCUACAGUUCAACUGUUCGGAUGAUCAUUUCCUUUUAUAACCAGACUUUUUGUAUUCUAAUUCAUAGGAAUGCACAGAUGGCAAGUGGAGCUUCAGUAGAGUUUCACAAUACUUCAGAAACAGUUAGAGAUUCUCUAUUUUUCCCUGAACCCUACUUGAGUCUGAAGGCAUGGACAUGUAAACAGACUAAGAGAGAGUUAUGUGUAUUUACGUUGGAGACCCACAUAUUCAGAAGCAAGAGCUGUAAAAUUAAGAUCCAAUGUUUUUAUAGUAUUCGUAUCCAAGUACGCUCUUUAUUCUUUGCUUAUGUCACUACAGAUAAAAUCUUGGUCUGGACCAUCUGCUACUAAGUCUGAGAACCUGUUUUCCGAGUCUAAGAAUUCAAGACCUAGACACGGCCGCAACCUCUUUGUUAAUGGCCCUUCGACUUUGUAAUCAAUAGAAGCUAAGAAAGCCAUGGCUCCUGACAAACUCGCUGAGCUUUGGUUUGUUGACCCUGAGAGAGCUAAAAGGUUUCAUCUUUAAUCUGCUCAAAUAUUUUCAUCUCAAAUCUGUCUUUGCACUUUCUCCAAGUAGUUAUUCAUGGUUUGUUACGGUGGGGUGAUGGAUCAGACUCCAUGACCUCUUUGUUCUAGAGACAUAAGUAUUCUGCAGACUAAUGUUUCUCAUUUAGUUUUGUUUUUAUGUCUAUAUUGGAAAUGGUACUCCCUGGAUAAGAUAUUUUCUGCUCUUUCAUUAUAACCAUGAGGUUUGAUAACAUAUUUUCCCCCAUAGUUGUGACUAUUACUGUCUUUUUCUUGCAGACGAUCAUGGCUGGUUGAUAGUAACGGCACUGCAACCAAAAUAACGAGUGCAUCGAGUCAGAAUGACCCGCACCAAGUGGUGUGGAACGGCAAUCCUACAAGACUUUGUCCCAACUGUCAGCACGUCAUUGACAACAGAAGUUGAUGACUGGCCAGGCUUGCCUCAAGGUGUGAAAUUCGAUCCCUCUGAUCCAGAGAUCAUCUACCAUUUGCUUGCAAAAUCUGGAUUGUUGGGUUUAAGCUCCCACCCUUUCAUUAAUGAGUUCAUCACAACUGUCAAUCAAUAUGAUGGAAUCUGUUACGCACUUCCUAAAAACUUACCAGUCUAGCCAUUUCAGUGAUCGUACCAGUUCUGCCAAGUUUUAUCUUAAUCAGAUUUUUUUUUUUUAAAUCGAGGCCUUAAGCACGACGGGACUGCGUCCCACUUUUCCAUAGAGCUAUCAAAACUUACAGCGCAUGAACUAACCAGUUGUAUCGGAUGGUGCGUUUAGUCACUGUCAUGGUAUGUUUCAUGCGAACCUUUUCUUGGCCGGGCUUGAGGUUGUUAUAUAUGAAUGGACUUGUGAUCUUUCAUUUUGUUGGUAUGUAGGUAUCCAGUACAUGUUGAUGCCUGCUUUUUAACUUUCCACUCUCUCCAACAACACCUCUUCUCUUCUGUUGCUUACUGCUAGAACCUUAUCUCCAGAGUGUCGUUGUGUUUAUCUUUUCUUACUCCACUUUUUGAAGGUAAGUGAACGGUGUGCAAAGCAUGCCUUUAAUGUCGAUGGAGAAGUCUCAGGAGGAAGAGCAUUCACACAUUUUCUUUCAGGUGGUUAUGUUUGACGUUUCAGUAAGUACAAGUAUGCUCAGCUAAUGAUUGCUAGCCGAAUGAGUUAUUCAUUCAUUGUUGUGCAGUUUUCUGCCUCAAGUUUUAGUACUUUUUCAUGAGUGAAGUGGCCUCAAUAUUUACAGUUCAUAAGAGCAGUUAGAUUUAACACUGAAGUGAUAUUGAAUGACAAGGUAUCAUAGAGAAUCAUUAGUUUUUCA